ACGGGGUGCAGCAGGCGCGAAACCUUUGCAAUGCGCGAAAGCGUGACAAGGGAACUCCACGUGCAAGCUUAGCUUGCUUUUAUCAAGUUUAAAACGCUUGGGGAAUAAGGGCUGGGCAAGACCCGUGCCAGCCGCCGCGGUAAUACGGGCAGCUCUAGUAGUGUUCGCGUAUAUUGGGCCUAAAGCGUUCGUAGCCUGCCCAACAAGUCUUUGGUGAAAGUCUGUGACUUAAUCAUGGAAAAUGCCAAGGAUACUGUUGGACUUGGAGCCGGGAAGGGUCGGAGGUAUUUCCGGGGUAGGGGUAAAAUCCUGUGAUCCCGGAAGGACCAUCGGUGGCGAAGGCGUCCGACUGGAACGGGCUCGACGGUGAGGAACGAAAGCUAGGGGAGCGAUGCGGAUUAGAUACCCGCGUAGUCCUAGCCGUAAAUGAUGCUGGUUUGGUGUGACACAACCUACGAGGUUGUGUCGUGCCGUAGGGAAGCCGUUAAACCAGCCGCCUGGGAAGUACGGCCGCAAGGCUGAAACUUAAAGGAAUUGGCGGGGGAGUACUACAAGGGGUGGAGGCUGCGGUUUAAUCGGAUUCAACGCCGAACAACUCACCAAGGAAGACAGCACUAUGAUGGUCAGUCCAAAGGGCUUACUUGAGGCGCUGAGAGCUGGUGCAUGGCCACCGUCAGCUCGUGCUGUANAGUGUCCUGU
rnacentral:rRNA from 1 species